GACGAACCGUGCGAACGUUAUUCGGAAUCACUGGGCUUAAAGCGCGCGUAGGCGGGCCGGCACGUCCGUCGCUGAAAGCCCCCGGCUCAACCGGGGAAGCGGCGGGGAUACGACCGGCCUGGAGGGGCGUAGGGGGACCUGGAACUUCCGGUGGAGCGGUGAAAUGCGUUGAGAUCGGAAGGAACGCCCGUGGCGAAAGCGAGGUCCUGGACGCCUGCUGACGCUGAGGCGCGAAAGCCAGGGGA
rnacentral:rRNA from 1 species